rnacentral:rRNA from 1 species
AGUGGGGAAUAUUGCACAAUGGGGGAAACCCUGAUGCAGCAACGCCGCGUGAGUGAUGACGGCCUUCGGGUUGUAAAGCUCUGUCUUCGGGGACGAUAAUGACGGUACCCGAGGAGGAAGCCACGGCUAACUACGUGCCAGCAGCCGCGGUAAUACGUAGGUGGCAAGCGUUGUCCGGAUUUACUGGGCGUAAAGGGAGCGUAGGCGGAUAUCUAAGUGGGAUGUGAAAUACCCGGGCUCAACCUGGGUGCUGCAUUCCAAACUGGAUAUCUAGAGUGCAGGAGGGGAAAGUGGAAUUCCUAGUGUAGCGGUGAAAUGCGUAGAGAUUAGGAAGAACACCAGUGGCGAAGGCGACUUUCUGGACUGUAACUGACGCUGAGGCUCGAAAGCGUGGGGAGCAAA